UACAGAGGAUGCAAGCGUUAUCCGGAAUGAUUGGGCGUAAAGCGUCUGUAGGUGGCUUUUUAAGUCCGCCGUCAAAUCCCAGGGCUCAACUCUGGACAGGCGGUGGAAACUACCAAGCUGGAGUCCGGUAGGGGAGUGUGGAAUUCCCGGUGUAGCGGUGAAAUGCGCAGAUAUCGGGAGGAACACCCGUAGCGAAGGCGGCACUCUGGGCCGGUACUGACGCUGAGGAGCGAAAGCGUGGGGAGCAAACAGG
rnacentral:rRNA from 1 species